AACUACCUAGCUUUCUACGUAUUAAAAAAAGAUUAUGAAAAAAUAAUAUUUCUUAUGCAAAAAAAAAAAACAUAUUUUGAUUCACAACCAGGAUAUUAAUUUUGAUAGAAGAUUGGAAAGUGGGGUUACUUUUCCCGACUGAUUUUUACACAUUAAAAAGCUUGAAAAAACGCGCUAUCCAAUAUUAUUAUAAUAUUAGUGUUUUUCAUAUAACGCGUUCUUUCAAUUUAACACUUUCAGCAAAACAAACCACAAAUGAAUUCGGGAGACUCCGCAAGCUUGCUAUGAUGCUACCCAAAAUAUAGCAGACGGCGCUGUUUUACAGAAAUAUAGCCAAAUAAAUUAGAACACUCAAAACAUGGCAAACUUUACACUUUAUUAAUGCUGUGAUAUUAAUUUUGUUAAUAUAUAUAUAUUGUUUUUUUUUUAUUUACUCGUUUAUUUUUUGGUCUACAAAAUGUUCGAAUCCGCUACUUUCGGAGCUCCCAUUCGCUACUUUUUAAUCAUAAGUUCUGGCAACACUGUUUGUAUGUUUGGUUUAUGGUUUGUAAUCAAGUGUCCUGCCGUCGAUCUAGGUAGAGCGAGAUCUUAACUCUUCACGAUGAAGACUAUUUUGGCUGGGCAAACAGUAAAGAUUCCUAAAGGAGGUAUGUU